rnacentral:lncRNA from 1 species
GUAAAUCAUCGCGAUCAACACUGGUAAUUACCACAUAAUCCAAGCCCCAUGAAGCAAUUGCCUCUGCCACAUUUGUGGGCUCAUUUGGGUCGGGAGGAGGUGGAGUGCGUGAUGUCUUCACAUUGCAGAAUCUGAAAUUUUAAGAUUAAAUACAAGACUCCACAAAAUUCAGAAUCUUCAAUUUUACAAUGACCAGGCAAAGUUCAAUAGCUUGCACUAGAGAAUAGACAUAAAAAUAAGUCCCAUCAUUGGCCCACAAUUAGGAUCUUUACACUUUAAUUUCUUUAGAGAGUCCACUCAUCAUAUACCAUAAGGUAAUAUAAAUCAUUUCCCCCCUACUCAGCAAAAAGUAUUUAUGAUUACUCCAAUUGCAUAAUGCCGCCGUCCAUCUGGUUUUUUUUCUCUAUAUGUACUUCUAACUACAUCAAGUGAGCAUAAAUACAAAUCAAAUCGAUUCCUUUCAUCAAGAAAAAUUCACUAAUUUGAUUCCAGUAUUCAAUAAUAAACACCACUCUUACAAUACAGAAAUAUUUUUCAGACAGAUCACUUACCUGCAACCGCGGGUGCAGGUAUCACCCAGAAUCAUAAUGGUGGCAGUGGCAGUGCCUGUUUCGCCGCCGGACCAACAUUCCCCCAAAUUAGGACACUUGGCUUCUUCACAAACGGUGUGCAACUUUAAUUCCCUCAAUUUUUUCUUUAUCUGCGUGUAUUUUUCACCCCCGGGGAUUGAUUCCUUCAUCCAUUUGGGUUUGGGCAGGGGCUUCUUCUUGGUGCCAACUUCAACGGAGUAGUGGUUUUCGGAUUGGAGAUUGGUAAAGUCGGCUAAGGUUGGUAACUCAGCUGCGAGCCGCUGGCGCAGGCCAUCGAGGGUCGGAGGAUAUUUCUGGAAAUCUGACAGCGGGGUCGAGUUUGUCGAGGUGGGGAUAGAGGAGAGGCAAUGACUCGGUUGAGAGAGAAAGAAGAGAGGGGAUUUGUUGUUAUAGGAUUUGAGGGAUCGAUUGGCAAAAGAAAUAAAACGGGAAUUCAUUUUCCCCUGUAUAUGGCGGCGGCGGCGUUGUUUCUGGUGAAGGAAUCGAUUGAGUGGUGGUUGGUCGACGGCAAGGCCAAACAGAGGGACGCCACUGGAUUGAUUGUUGAUACGUGGAUUUUAAAAUGAUAAAAUGACCCUUUCAAAAUAAAAAAGGAAAUAGUAAAAUGAUUUGGCGGUAUUCAAAAUUAGGUUUUAACAGGGACGAGAGGUCCAUUCGAUUCAUUUCGGUGACGAACUGAGCAGCAAAAUACUCGUUCGAGCUGUUCGUAGAUUUGCUCGAGUUGACUCGCGAAUUUAAAAUGUGAGCUGCGGCUCGAGCUCACAUUUGACAAAGGAAGCUGACAUGUAUGAUUGUUUGGGUCGAGCUUGACGGUGGAUGAGCUAUAAAGCUUGUUCGAUAGUGAUUUUGAGAAUUGAUUUUUUGAUCAUUAGAAAAAAAGUGGGUCUUACCUAUGAGAGAAAAAGUAAAAAAAUUACGAUUUGAAUAGUGAAAUAACGGUAAAAAAUUUGGUGUUUUUUUUUUUUUUUUAAAUGGUGAAAAUCUAAACGAAACAUGCACCUAAUUGAAAUGUCUUCUGGUUUUGUUUAAAAAAAAAAAAAAAAGGAAUUUUAGCACAAAUGGUUCCUUAACCUUUUUCUUCCAUGCAAUUUUGGUCCCCUAACAUUUAGUUAUUAGCAGAACGUUCUCCCCCCAUGCAUUUUGUGCUCAAAUGGUCCUGUUUAACAGAUUUCAGCACUCAGCAGUGGUCCUAUGCUGCCGUUGAUUGUGUAACAUAUGAUGUAAUAAGGCCAAAUAUUGCUUAUAUGGUUGAAAUUCCUGCCAACUUCCACGCAAGUAUGGAUUUAGGAUUGAAUCCAAGAUCGAGUUACAAAAUUUCAAACAAGACUUGUAUGCGGAAAAAAAAAAUUACACAUAAAAAAACUAGUUUUUUACCGAAAAAAAAUACCUUAAAAAAAUGUUCUUGGGCUUGAGGAGGGGGCUACAGCCCAGCCCAGCCCCCAAAUCCAUCUCUGUUUCCACAGUUGUUUGUGCUUCAGCAAUGGUGUUGGAUGGGUAUACAAAUACAAUUAUAGUUGGUGGCAUGGAUUCCAAUAAAUCCAGUUCAAGAUUCUUGAUAACGUUUCCAACGAGAGCUGUACAUUAGUAAUCCAAGUUGCAUAAAUUUAUAGCUCUAUCGUUGACGAAGCUGUAUAUACAAGAAUUGGUUCUGCAGUAAGUCCACUUCAAGAAUCUUUAUGAUGUUUGCAGUGAGAUCCGUAUAUUAGCAAUCCGAAUUGCAUAAAUUUAUAGUUAUGUUCUAUCACAGAAGCUGUAUACUAUAAUAACCGAGGCAUGCAAUUAAGCAUAGUGAAUAAAAAAUAUCUACAAGAACUGAAUCUGCCACAAGAAAAGUGAGUAAUUUAUUAUGACAUUCCUUACAAGAUCUAACCAUAUCGAUGUCAAGUAUUAUUAAAUUCGAUAUGUAAAUCAUUCUAUGAACAUGAUGUCAAGAGUCUCAUUUUUACCGUAUUGUCUAAUUCUUUAUUUUUAUUUUUGGGUAAAUAUUUAAUUUUAUCAAUAGUAAAAGGCAAAUUAUAAACAAAAGAGGUGACGAAGUUAAGACCUCUUGGUAGCAAAAAUAAGUACAAAAUAUUCUUAAUUAAAUCCAAUUAGAAUUCCAUGAAUCAAAUUGAAAUUAGUUAAAAUUAGACACGAAAAAAUAACAAAUGGAAAUCCAUGAAGGAGUAGAGAGCAAAAUUCUAACCCCUUCAUCUGAUGCUAGGGUUUUCUUUUUAUAGUGAGCUCAAAUCAUUUUCAUCGCCAGCUUGGAUAUUGUUAGAGUUCAUAACCAAUUUUCCUCACAAGGGGCUGCUACGAGGAUGAUUGCAAUGAUGAAACAUAAUUUCUUGAGUGUCAAAAUCAUUUCCGUUUUCGUUUCACAUCCAAGAAAUUGACUUCUUGCUCAAUAGAUAAAAUUUCAUACAAAAAGUACCAUGGAAAACCAUCGAUAUCACCCAUAAACGCAAUGUCUUGCUCAACAAUAUCUCUUUCAUUGUCAUGAGAAAUAGGAGCACAAAAUUUAAGAGAAUGAGUGGACGAACUUAGACACUCAAGUUCGUACGAAAAUCAACAAGGAUUGAGGGGGCAAUUUGCUUAAAGAUUUGGCAGUUGAAUUGAUUCAUAUUUACUAUUUUGCCAUUUAGUCCCUAAACUACUUAUUUUGUUCAAUCUCCGAAUCAAUUUUCUCCUCAUUUUCCUAGUUCUCAUUCCAUCUUCUCGACCAUUAUCUCAACCUCUCUCUCCAAAUGACUUAUUUUCUUCGUUCUUCUUCCUAAUCAUGGCUAUUUACCAAAAUCCAUCUUAUCCAUGCUCCUCACCAAACUCCAUCCUAAGAAGUAAAAACGAAAAUAAUCUAGCAUGAAUUCAAGUUAAAUCACCUACAAAAUAGCAACAGUUUGCUUUACUAAGCAGUGCACGUAGGAUAAAUAAAGUAGAGGUGGCACAACGAUCGCUACCAGAGUGGACCCCGCAUCUUCGAAAUAUUUUUUUUUCUCUUCCCGUCCCCGGUCAUACUCCAGCGUGUCCACAUAAAAGGAAAUAGCAAAUGCAUCUUGCUCAACAAGCAUAGCUUGAAAGAUAUUAAGACCAAAUAAAUGUGAAAGUUAACAUUCUCAGUCUUACUAUGCAAAAUGACAUUUAGAUUUAUAGCAAUAAGCAACUCGAUUUCAGCUUAACCGAAUAUAAAUAAUUCAACCUGGACAUAAUGAAUUGAUUGAACAAGGAUUUAAAACAUGUUAAGUAAAAAAAUAGGGAAAAUUGUAGUUGCGAUCUCAAACCUUUUAAAUUGUUGCAAACUAUACCUAAACUUUCAUUUUUGCAAAUGGGGCGUCAAACCUUUCAUAUCGAGUGCAGCUCGAGGACAUGUGGACGGAAUUCUUCCAUUUGACCAUUAGUUGACCAAAAGUCAGCGAACUGACCAAAUUAUCCCACAUAAAAUAAUAAAAAAAUAAAAAACUAUUUGGUCAGAUAGUUGAUUUUUGGUUAAAUGAGAAUCAAAUGGAUGAAUUUCAUCCAUGUGUCAUUCAACUGAAAUCGAGAUCAAAGGUUUGGGACCCUAACUAUAAAAAUAAAAAGUUUAGAUAUAAUCUGCAAUAAUUUGAAAGGUUGAGGUCCCAACUGCAGUUCUCCCUAAAAAUAAGAAAAAAAUUUGUUUUGCGUGUAAAAUUAUUUUAUGGCAAAAUGUGUGGUUGAAAAUGAAUUUUAAAAAAAUGAGUUUGAGGAAAAUGAAGACCAAAGAUUGGCAUAGUAAAGGAUGUAAUAAUUUUGUUACAAAUGUUAGAAUAAGCCCAUGUUCGAUGCCAUUAAUUGAGAAAAAUGAUGUUUUGAAUGGUAAUUUUUUUGGAGAAUGUAUAUUUAAAAAACAUAUAUAUAUAUAUAUAUAUAUGCACAUGUUGACGCACUAAAAGUGCAACCCAAAUCAAAUAGCCCAAAAAGUGAAUUCCAAUUGGGGAAUUCAGGAUAAAGGUCCAAACAGGAUUAUUAAUGAAUGUCGUGGAAGCCCACGAACACGAUAACAUCAUCGCUCAAUCUUGCAAAACGCCCAGAAUCUUAGUGAAUGGAGCACCUUACGGUCGCCCAGAGCGAUGACCCCGUUCUCGUCCAAACCUUCGAAUCGCCAAGGAUCUUAGCAAGCAUAAAACAUUAUGGUUAUCUAGAAUAGCAGUUAUUGAAGCAGUUAUUAAGUGAUCUUAUCACAUUCCACGAUUCAAGGAGCCCAGUUGAAAGCGAUUGAACGAUAAAGAGUAAUGGCAAUAGUUAGAGACGGCAGUUCCACAACAAGUUAGCCACCAUAAAGAAAGUGGGUGGUUAUACAGCAAUCAAGCAGUUUCCAAGCGGUUUGUCACGAAAUGUAUAUACAAGAAUUGGUUCUGCAGUAAGUCCACUUCAAGAAUCUUUAUGAUGUUUGCAGUGAGAUCCGUAUAUUAGCAAUCCAAAUUGCAUAAAUUUAUAGUUAUGUUCUAUCACAGAAGCUGUAUACUAUAAUAACCGAGGCAUGCAAUUAAGCAUAGUGAAUAAAAAAUAUCUACAAGAAUCUUGUCACGAAAAAAUCAUCAAGGGAAUAUAAAAGGAAGAGAAGAUAUAGAGAAAAAGGACGAAUCAAACACUCUCAAACAGAGAAUAUGUAAUUUCGAUUUCUUAGUUUAAAUUUAAACACUUCUUUUAGUACUCGUGUGCUUGCGCCCCUUGGAGGCAUUCUGUUUAUUUCCAAUUGUAAAUCAUCGCCAAUAAAACACCCCUUUUUGGGACUUUAUCUCAAGAGGUAUGUUCCUUACACAAUCGUCUGAUCUCUUUUAAAUUGUUAGUGACUACCCGCGCGAAACAAAUUUGGCACGCCCAGUGGGACCUUGGUGUUUGGUGUUGAAGAAAAAAAGGUGAAACAAUACGCCUCACAAAUCUGAUAAGGAAGCAGCAAGUCAGGGAUGAGUCCAGUCUGUGAUCGAGCAAUAUGAGGAGCAACAAAGCUCUCCACGAACAGAGGGACAGAGUCGGAGCAAUUACAGUUGUUACGAACCAAUGACAGAGUUGAGUCCUCGAACCAUGCGUGCAUUGCUUGGAGAACCCACACAGGAUGUCGUUGAACAGGUAAAUCUACGAAAUGUUCAUAAUAUAAAAAGAUUUACCCAGAAUGGGAAUGCACAUUAUGACAACAUGGCCAAAUAACUGAAUACAUUAAAUGAAAUAAUGAAUUAGUUAGUAGGCCAAAUUUGUCAGCCAGUUGUGCCUAUUGCAAAUCACUUUCAAACUAGGACAAUCGUGGGACAUAAUUCCCCAGUCCUAAGUUCAAAUCAGGGGAUAGAACCACCUUUUGGUCCACCUACUUCAAACCAGAGGGAUGGUGUAAUGCCAAAUCAGAAUAGUGGUAAUGGUACAUCUAACUUGGGAGUAACCUAAAUAUAAGAGACAAUGUCCUAAAUAAUGGACAGAAUACCCCACGUGUCAAUGAUGGAAUAAAUAUUCAGGCUAAUGGGAACAAUGGCCCAAAUCAUGGCAACUUAUGGUCCCCAAUCCGGACAAACUGUACAGGUAACUGAAUUUCUCGUAGCUGCCUUAAACCCGUUUCAUUCAUCGCAGAUUUACAGGUGAAAAAGCAUAAACGAUUCAGAAUUCGGCACAUGCUCAAUUUUAAGGCUAAAUACAGAUUUAUUUUUUGUAAGGCUAACCUAGAUCAAUUUCCUUACUUUUACUCCACCUGCUGCAGAAGCUCCAUUUCCUACAUCCAUAUCUUGAACAACUUAAACAAACAGAAGCAUGGUAGAUUCAUACCUAAAGCUUCUAUGAGCAUGGUUGGCUUCAAUGUCUUCAACUUCUGGACUGUCUCAGCAAAAUGGCCACUACCUUGAUCAAGUAAAUCAUCGCGAUCAACACUGGUAAUUACCACAUAAUCCAAGCCCCAUGAAGCAAUUGCCUCUGCCACAUUUGUGGGCUCAUUUGGGUCGGGAGGAGGUGGAGUGCGUGAUGUCUUCACAUUGCAGAAUCUGAAAUUUUAAGAUUAAAUACAAGACUCCACAAAAUUCAGAAUCUUCAAUUUUACAAUGACCAGGCAAAGUUCAAUAGCUUGCACUAGAGAAUAGACAUAAAAAUAAGUCCCAUCAUUGGCCCACAAUUAGGAUCUUUACACUUUAAUUUCUUUAGAGAGUCCACUCAUCAUAUACCAUAAGGUAAUAUAAAUCAUUUCCCCCCUACUCAGCAAAAAGUAUUUAUGAUUACUCCAAUUGCAUAAUGCCGCCGUCCAUCUGGUUUUUUUUCUCUAUAUGUACUUCUAACUACAUCAAGUGAGCAUAAAUACAAAUCAAAUCGAUUCCUUUCAUCAAGAAAAAUUCACUAAUUUGAUUCCAGUAUUCAAUAAUAAACACCACUCUUACAAUACAGAAAUAUUUUUCAGACAGAUCACUUACCUGCAACCGCGGGUGCAGGUAUCACCCAGAAUCAUAAUGGUGGCAGUGGCAGUGCCUGUUUCGCCGCCGGACCAACAUUCCCCCAAAUUAGGACACUUGGCUUCUUCACAAACGGUG